CCCCUCACUGCCAUCGCUGCGAGGGGGAUCCUGCCCUCCUUCAUCAGAUCCACCCCGGCUUGCUUCUCCUCACCUUCCCUGCCUCAGCAUCGCUGCGAGGUGAAGGUCAGAUAUUGUAAAUGGAUAGCCUUCUUAAGCAUUGGUGGGAUAAAGAGGAGGAAUUUGACGAUGAUGACCUUUUCAUGGUUGGUGCCGUUCUUACUGGAUGAGGAAGCAGAGCAAGAAGAAAUUUCAUGGCUCGUUGCUAGGUCGGCACAGUGUGCAAAGAGGCAUCCAGGGAGGGCACCAGAGACUUUACUUGGACUACUUCACGCCCCAGCCUGUGUACAACAAUAAGCACUUCAGGACACACGGAGUUUGAUGGCCAUGAACACCGCAAGAGGAUUCCUCGGAAUAGGCAAGCAUUCUGAGAGCUACAGCUGCCUUCUGCCAAGAGCCCCAACCUGGUCUCUGCCUGAAAUACUCGUCAUGAGCCUCUAGUGCCGCUGCUAUCCGUAAGAAGAGGGACUUGGGAUAAGUGCCCAACAACGUGGAAAGGGAUGUACACAGGCCACAAGGAAGGCCCUACUAUGAUCCUGGAGGCCGUUGCGUCUCAUGAUCUUUGGAUCUGACAUGCUUUCUUUGGUAUGCCUGGUUCGCUUAACGACAUCAACGUCCUGCGUCGUUCUCCCCUUUUCGACAGAUUCACUUCUGGGACGGCACCUCAGUUGGAAUAUACAGUCAAUGGAAACAAGUACACGAUGGGGUACUCUCGUUGACGUGAUAUAUCCUACUUGGGCAACAUUUGUCAAAGCUUUCCGAAACCCGCAGGGGAACAAGAAAGUUCACUUCACGGCGGCACAAGAAGCUGUAAGAAAAGAUGUAGAAAGGGCAUUUGGGGUACUCCAGCUACGGUUUGCUAUGAUACAGGGGCCUGCGAGAAUGUGGAGCAAGGAGGACCUAUGGUACAUCAUGCAGGCUUGUGUCGUCCUUCACAACAUAAUCAUUGAAGAUGAGAGAGAGGACGAGGAUGACUUCAACUACAAUUAGGAAGGUACCGUUACCAAGGUGUUGGACCCUAAGGACUACGAGCAUCAUGAUCCGCAGCUGUUGGAGGAGUUCCUCAAGAUGCGUCAAGAGAUCGAGGAUAAAUCGACACAUGAGCAGCUCCGAAACGAUCUCAUCGAGCAUUUGUGGACGAUCCAUAGGUAAAGGCAAGGGUGGUGCUGAGGCUAAGCCUGUCCCAACUAUUGAACAACUGCAUGCUGUUGUUACCAGAAUUCUUGGCUAGGUAGACUCAUGAUGGUGCUGAGGAAGACUCAGAAGAUGAUGGGUUUAGUAGCUUUGUUGCCUAGGUAGCUUGCCUGACUGUAAUAUGCACAAUAAGUGGUUUUUGUACAUUCUUGGCUAGGUAGACUCAUGAUGGUGCUGAGGAAGACUCAUCCAUAUAUGUGUACCCUGUUUGUGCUAAAGCAGUGUGAUCUAAAUUAUAAUUAUGAAAGCAGUGUCCCCUUUGAGCUGCCAUUUGUUCAUUCUGAAUUAUGUCUGACAUUUUU